CAGUCGUGCCGGCGUUGGAUUCAGCUUGCUUCGCGGAGCAGGCGUAUUUCUGCGCAUGGCAGGUCAGCGUCAGUUUGGGCGGUCGGAUAAAGGCUUCGGGAAUGUAGCUCCCCUCGGGGAUGUUAUAGCCCGGAGUGCCAUGCGACCAGCCUGGACUGAGGUCCGCGCAUCUGCUAGGAUGCUGGCGUAAUGGCUGUAAG
rnacentral:rRNA from 1 species